rnacentral:rRNA from 1 species
UACAGAGGUCUCAACCGUUGUUCGGAUUCAUUGGGCGUAAAGGGUGCGUAGGCGGUCGCGCAAGUCGGAUGUGAAAUCUCAGGGCUCAACCCUGAAACUGCAUUCGAUACUGCGUGGCUAGAGUACUGGAGAGGAGACUGGAAUUUACGGUGUAGCAGUGAAAUGCGUGGAUAUCGUAAGGAAGACCAGUGGCGAAGGCGAGUCUCUGGACAGUAACUGACGCUGAGGCACGAAGGCCAGGGGAGCAAACAGG